ensembl:miRNA MIR1180 microRNA 1180
GUCUGCCUGACUCACCCGGCCGGGAAUAGUGCUCCUGGUUUUUUUCCGGCUCGAGUGGGUGUGUCGGAGG